rnacentral:rRNA from 1 species
UACGGGGGGAGCAAGCGUUGUUCGGAUUUACUGGGCGUAAAGGGCGCGUAGGCGGCCAGCACAAGUCAGUUGUGAAAUCUCCGAGCUUAACUCGGAACGGUCAACUGAUACUGUGCGGCUAGAGUGCGGAAGGGGCAAUCGGAAUUCUUGGUGUAGCGGUGAAAUGCGUAGAUAUCAAGAGGAACACCUGAGGUGAAGACGGGUUGCUGGGCUGACACUGACGCUGAGGCGCGAAAGCCAGGGGAGCAAACGGG